GAACGCGAAGAACCUUACCAAGGCUUGACAUGCACGGCGGCACUGCAGAGAUGUGGUGGCAUUUGGUUGGUCGUGUGCAGGUGGUGCAUGGUUGUCGUCAGCUCGUGUCGUGAGAUGUUGGGUUAAGUCCCGCAACGAGCGCAACCCUUGCCCUAUGUUGCCAGCACGUGAUGGUGGGGACUCGUGGGGGACUGCCGGGGUUAACUCGGAGGAAGGUGGGGAUGACGUCAAAUCAUCAUGCCCCUUAUGUCUUGGGCUUCACGCAUGCUACAAUGGUUGGUACAGAGGGUUGCGAUACUGUGAGGUGGAGCGAAUCCCUUAAAGCCAGUCUCAGUUCGGAUUGGGGUCUGCAACUCGACCCCAUGAAGGUGGAGUCGCUAGUAAUCGCAGAUCAGCAACGCUGCGGUGAAUACGUUCUCGGGUCUUGUACACACC
rnacentral:rRNA from 1 species